GAGCUCUUUUCACAUUGUGCUACUGUCCGCCCGUCACGAGCAGUGCAAUGUUAAAAGGGCAU
rnacentral:miRNA from 1 species